GCUUCACCUACAUUACGCCGCUUUCAGUUUCAGCUGUCGGUUACCAGAUUUUUCUGGGUCUUGAUUUCGGCUUGUGUAGCCUAAGUAGCCUAUUUGGCACCUGCCCAUUAAGAACACGCAAGAUGCCCAAGGUCUGGAUGAUUAUUGUUGAUUGUCUUUUAAGUGCGGACAGGCAAGGUGUUGCCAUACAAAGUAGCGCAGGCAAGAGAAAAGAAUACGAAAUAAAAAUCACACGCUGCACGCGCUCGCUGGAACGUGUCGGACAUUAUUAAUGUGCCCAGUCGCAAAGUAAAAGCAUUGUACCAAGGAAAUGACAUUCCAUUGCUGCGCCAUAAUACCAAGAAGCUGAAAAUAAUGAAACUCUAGAAUUGAAGAGACGAGCCACGGCGCUGGUGGAAAACAAAGAAGAUGUUCAUAAAAUUAGAAUCAAUUAAUUGAAAUUUAAAACAAUUUGGAUGAAACACACUUCACAAUAACGUGCUGUUUACACAAAAUU